rnacentral:misc_RNA from 1 species
GAUGAAGAACGCAGCGAAAUGCGAUACGUAAUGUGAAUUGCAGAAUUCAGUGAAUCAUCGAAUCUUUGAACGCAUAUUGCGCUCUCUGGUAUUCCGGAGAGCAUGCUUGUUUGAGUAUCAGUAAACACCUCAACUUCCAUAUCUUUUUUGAAAUGGGAGUUGGACUUGAGUGAUCCCAACGCUUUUCCUCACCGAAAAGUGGCGGGUUACUUGAAAUGCAGGUGCAGCUGGACUUUUCUCUGAGCUAUAAGCAUAUCUAUUUAGUCUGCCUAAAAAACAGAUUAUUACCUUUGCUGCAGCUAACAUAAAGGAGAUUAGUUCUUGUGCUGACUGAUGCAGGAUUCACAAAGACAGGCUUCGGCCGACUUUGUAAACUCGAUCUCAAAUCAAGUAAGACUACCCGCUGAACUUAAGCAUAUCAAUAAGGGAGGA